AGCGAACGUUAGCGGCGCGCCUAACACAUGCAAGUCGCACGAGAAAAGGCUUCGGCCCCGGUAAAGUGGCGCACGGGUGAGUAACACGUGGGCAACCUGCCCAACCCUGGGGGAUAACCUGCCGAAAGGCGGGCUAAUACCGCGUACGAGGGCCCUACUUCGGUAGGGUUCUGAAAGCAGGCCUCUGUAUACAAGCUUGCGGGGUUGGAUGGGCCCGCGCUCCAUCAGCUAGUUGGUGAGGUAAGAGCUCACCAAGGCUACGACGGAUAGCUGGUCUGAGAGGAUGAUCAGCCACACUGGAACUGAGACACGGUCCAGACUCCUACGGGAGGCAGCAGUGGGGAAUCUUGCGCAAUGGGCGAAAGCCUGACGCAGCGACGCCGCGUGGGUGACGAAGGCCUUCGGGUUGUAAAGCCCUGUGGGGCGAGACGAACAGCCAGGAAGCGAACAGCUUCUUGGUUUGACGGUAUCGCCUUAGCAAGCACCGGCUAACUCUGUGCCAGCCGCCGCCGUAAGAC
rnacentral:rRNA from 1 species